rnacentral:rRNA from 1 species
AGUGGCGGACGGGUGAGUAAUGCUUGGGAACUUGCCUUUGCGAGGGGGAUAACAGUUGGAAACGACUGCUAAUACCGCAUAAUGUCUUCGGACCAAACGGGGCUUCGGCUCCGGCGCAAAGAGAGGCCCAAGUGAGAUUAGCUAGUUGGUAAGGUAAAGGCUUACCAAGGCGACGAUCUCUAGCUGUUCUGAGAGGAAGAUCAGCCACACUGGGACUGAGACACGGCCCAGACUCCUACGGGAGGCAGCAGUGGGGAAUAUUGCACAAUGGGGGAAACCCUGAUGCAGCCAUGCCGCGUGUGUGAAGAAGGCCUUCGGGUUGUAAAGCACUUUCAGUUGUGAGGAAAAGUUAGUAGUUAAUACCUGCUAGCCGUGACGUUAACAACAGAAGAAGCACCGGCUAACUCCGUGCCAGCAGCCGCGGUAAUACGGAGGGCGCGAGCGUUAAUCGGAAUUACUGGGCGUAAAGCGCACGCAGGCGGUUUGUUAAGCUAGAUGUGAAAGCCCCGGGCUCAACCUGGGAUGGUCAUUUAGAACUGGCAGACUAGAGUCUUGGAGAGGGGAGUGGAAUUCCAGGUGUAGCGGUGAAAUGCGUAGAUAUCUGGAGGAACAUCAGUGGCGAAGGCGACUCCCUGGCCAAAGACUGACGCUCAUGUGCGAAAGUGUGGGUAGCGAACAGGAUUAGAUACCCUGGUAGUCCACACCGUAAACGCUGUCUAC